rnacentral:rRNA from 1 species
UUUCCCUACGGGGGGCAGCAGUGAGGAAUAUUGGUCAAUGGGCGCGAGCCUGAACCAGCCAAGUCGCGUGAGGGAAGACGGUCCUAUGGAUUGUAAACCUCUUUUGUCGGGGAGCAAAAGACGCCACGCGUGGCGUUCCGAGAGUACCCGAAGAAAAAGCAUCGGCUAACUCCGUGCCAGCAGCCGCGGUAAUACGGAGGAUGCGAGCGUUAUCCGGAUUUAUUGGGUUUAAAGGGUGCGCAGGCGGAAGAUCAAGUCAGCGGUAAAAGCCCGGGGCUCAACCCCGGCGAGCCGUUGAAACUGGC